UUAAAGUAUUGAGCAGCACAGUGUGGCUCAGCUGUCAUAUAGAGGCACUCACUUUUCACUUGCUGGACUUGGAGGGUUUGGUUUGAGGUCUGUAAAUUCUUUCUCGCUCGCUUUCUUUCUUUCUCUCUUUCUUUCUUUCUUUCUUUCUUUCUUUCUUUUCUUUUCUUUUUUUUUUUUUUGAGACAGAAUCUCACUCUGUCACCCAGGUUGGAGUACAGUAGCACGAUCUUGGCUCACUGUAACCUUCACCUCCCAGUUCAAGCUCUUCUGUUGCUUCAGACCCCCAGGUAGCUGGGAUUACAGGCAUCCACA
rnacentral:lncRNA from 1 species